rnacentral:rRNA from 1 species
AACGAACGCUGGCGGCAGGCUUAACACAUGCAAGUCGAACGCCCCGCAAGGGGAGUGGCAGACGGGUGAGUAACGCGUGGGAACAUACCCUUUUCUACGGAAUAGCUCUGGGGAACUGGAAUUAAUACCGUAUACGCCCUACGGGGGAAAGAUUUAUCGGGGAAGGAUUGGCCCGCGUUGGAUUAGCUAGUUGGUGGGGUAAAGGCCUACCAAGGCGACGAUCCAUAGCUGGUCUGAGAGGAUGAUCAGCCACAUUGGGACUGAGACACGGCCCAAACUCCUACGGGAGGCAGCAGUGGGGAAUAUUGGACAAUGGGCGCAAGCCUGAUCCAGCCAUGCCGCGUGAGUGAUGAAGGCCUUAGGGUUGUAAAGCUCUUUCACCGAUGAAGAUAAUGACGGUAGUCGGAGAAGAAGCCCCGGCUAACUUCGUG